AACCUUUAGCUUAACCAAGUAUUAAAGGCAACGCCUGCCCAGUGAACAAUUAAACGGCCGCGGUACCCUAACCGUGCAAAGGUAGCGUAAUCACUUGUCUAUUAAUUGUAGACCCGUAUGAAAGGCAAAAUGAGGGCCUAACUGUCUCUUAUAAUUAAUCAAUUAAACUGAUCUCCCAGUACAAAAGCUGGAAUACUAACAUAAGACCAGAAGACCCUGUGAAGCUUAAACUAAACUAUUAAACCAUAUAAUAGCUCCUUUCGGUUGGGGCGACCUUGGAAAAAAAAAGAACUUCCAAACAACAUAGGCUAUUAAGCCUGCUUAUAAGGCCAACAAGCCAAACAACGACCCAGCAUUGCUGAUUAAUGAAACAAGUUACUCCAGGGAUAACAGCGCUAUCUUCUUCAAGAGCCCAUAUCAAAAAGAAGGUUUACGACCUCGAUGUUGGAUCAGGACAUCCUAAUGGUGCAGCCGCUAUUAAGGGUUCGUUUGUUCAACGAUUAAUAGUCCC
rnacentral:rRNA from 1 species